rnacentral:rRNA from 1 species
GAUCAUGGCUCAGGAUGAACGCUAGCUACAGGCUUAACACAUGCAAGUCGAGGGGCAGCAUGAUCUUAGCUUGCUAAGAUGAUGGCGACCGGCGCACGGGUGAGUAACGCGUAUCCAACCUUCCCUGUACUAGGGGAUAGCCCGGCGAAAGUCGGAUUAAUACCCUAUGUUUUCCGAAGCGAGCAUUUAAUUUGGAACAAAGGUUUACCGGUAUAGGAUGGGGAUGCGUCUGAUUAGAUAGUAGGCGGGGUAACGGCCCACCUAGUCGACGAUCAGUAGGGUUCUGAGAGGAAGGUCCCCCACAUUGGAACUGAGACACGGUCCAAACUCCUACGGGAGGCAGCAGUGAGGAAUAUUGGUCAAUGGGCGAGAGCCUGAACCAGCCAAGUAGCGUGCAGGAUGACGGCUCUAUGGGUUGUAAACUGCUUUUAUAUAGGGAUAAAGUGAGGGACGUGUCCCUUAUUGUAGGUACUAUAUGAAUAAGGACCGGCUAAUUCCGUGCCAGCCGCCGC